UACAGAGGGUGCGAGCGUUGUCCGGAAUCACUGGGCGUAAAGGGCGCGUAGGCGGCUCAGUAAGGUUGCGGUGAAAGCCCGGGGCUCAACCCCGGGUCGGCCGUGGCAACUGCUGGGCUAGAGCACUGUAGAGGCAGGUGGAAUUCCGGGUGUAGCGGUGGAAUGCGUAGAGAUCCGGAAGAACACCGGUGGCGAAGGCGGCCUGCUGGGCAGUACGCUGACGCUGAUGCGCGACAGCGUGGGGAGCAACAGG
rnacentral:rRNA from 1 species